UGUGCAGUCAUACUAUCUCAGGUCAAAAAACUAUUCACACAACUACAACAUCGAGAUAAUCACUGAUGAUGGAGUAGACAUCCAAAUGAUCUCUCGUAUGGUCAUGCUCAGUUUUAGUCGUUCUCUAACAACUACUCACACUCAUCACUCAGUGUCUCUACACUAUAGAUCAGAGACUCAUCUGCCCUGAAGAAAGUGAUCUGUGCGUCGGUCUAUCCAGAUU
rnacentral:lncRNA from 1 species